GUGUCUCGCUGCGCUGUCCUAUCGUCUGAGAUUGGCGCUCUGUGUGGUCCGUGUGGUGUCUGCGACGUCAGCACGUGAAUGUUUAGAGAUUCGGAGGUGUGUGGACAACUAAGCAGGAGAAUAAACACUGGAGGAGUUGAUGGAAGCCCCUACAGAUAUUAUGUAACAUGCUGAAUCAAUAUCAACCGACAGGGACACAAUACAGAUCAUCUCCUAAUGGUUCACCAGUGGUUCCAGAGGGUCAAGAGAACUCAGUGGUUUGCAGGAUAUAUCUGAGUGAUCGACAAUACAGAAACUUUUUGGAGCUCCAUAAUAUCCAUCCUGUGACGAGGGGACUGGGUGUGAUUUCACUCUCCACUCUGAUCAAAAGCACCAGCUGACCUGAAAGACAGAAAGGUCCACUGACUGCUGGGAACCACCCUGACUGCUCAUGGAGAAAAGCAUCAUCAUGGUCCUGUGGGAGAGAUACAGACAGCACUCAUGUGGAUUCAGUAGUAAUCUGUGCUGCAACUAACGAUUAUUUUCAUUGUUGAUUAAGCUGUUAAUUAAUUUCUCGAUUACUCGAUUAGUGAAAAUUGGUGAUCAAAACCCAAGAUGACAUCCUCAACUGCCUUGUUUUGUCCACAACUGAAAGAUCUUAAGUUUACUGUCAUAGCGCAGUAAAGAAAUAUUCACAUAUAUGAAUCAGAGAAUUUUGACUUAAAAAAAUUGCUCAAACCAAUUAAUCACUUAUCAAAAUAGUUGGAGAUUAAUUUAAUAGUUGACAAUUAAUGGAUUAAUCAAAUCAAUCAUUUUAGCAUCAUCGACAUGCAUGUAAUUAGAGGAAACAUCCACUUACUGUACAUUGUAUAAUUCAUGAUAGUCAGCAUUCCUAAAAAAGUGAAUGUUUUGGCACUAACACCCUGUGGUUGUUUUUCUAUAAGGGUCAAUUCACCCCAAAACACACAACGCUAUUUUUUGACUUCCUUUUAAGUAGAGCUGGCUAUGCAGAUACCUUUGGUUUACUCCAUUUCUUUGGCACGUUUCACAGUAAAUAUUGAAAACUGCACACAGUGAGGUCAGUAAAUUAUUUAGAGCAGAGGUACUCAAACUGGGAGGCGGUCCUCCCCAUGGAUCGUAGAAAAUUUGAAGAGGAACUGUGAGGGAGAUACUUCACGAGGUAAAAAGGGACAGGUGUUCUAAAAAACAACAGGAAAUUUGUUAUUGUAGUUUGAUCAACACAGUCAGCUGUAGCAGAAGCAGCAACAGUAGUAACUCACAGCUCAAGGAGGCAAUUAAGGAAUUUUUAAACCCCUACAGCCCUUGCUGCCUCCCUGACUUAAAUCCACUUAGAAAUCAUUAAAAAAAGACUCCCCUUAUAACUCCAGAACCUACCUUUUCUACAGUAUGAAAUUAAUACUGUGAUAGCUGCUGUAUAUCAUUGGGUACAUAGCAAACCGGAACUGCUAUAUAAUAAUAUAAAAUACAAAACUGAAUAAUAUAAACACAAGCAAGUGAUAUUUGGCACUUUAAGUGAUUCUUGUGUGACCCUCUAUGUGUUUAUGUAGAGACACUCAUUAGGUAAAUAUUGCUGUCAAACCUUCACAUCAGUCUCUUGUGAUGUCUUCAGACUUGCAGAAACAUACAUGUUGCACUCACACCAUUUGAUUUUUAUGUGUGUACCUAGGAGUGGUGUGUGCCAGCCCAUCCUGCUUUGAUUCUGAGCACACCCAGGUCAACAUCCUUUGUUUUUUAGCGCCUCAGGACGAGGUACUGUCCUAGCACUAUUUAAAUGCUGACAGCAGCUCUGCUAGAGGAGACAGUUGGUGAUUCAGUCUAAAUGAACAUUCACUUCUAAUGGAUUGACCUAUGUGCCAUGCAGCACAACCCAUACAAUUAAUGCUUGCUUGAAUUGGUGGGGAAGUCAAUUUAAUUACCAUGGACCUAAUUACCGGCCUCUGUUUCCUAGUACAGUUCUGUCAGAGUGUUGUAGGCAAUCAUGAUGUUUCAUUCCCUCUUAGUCUCAAAUAACCAUGUUUAGGUCAUAUUGCUGCCCUAAAAUAUUUCUGCUGGCAUUACGACAAAAAUUUCAACCAGCCAUGUUUUUGUUAGCAUUGGAAUUCAAAGUCUGUUAACAAGUCCUGCACAUGCCUUUUUCUUUGAAAAAGGUAGAGGAAGUAUUAUGAUCCUUUAUUUAAGUGUAAGGCCAUUACUACGCUGUAAAAUAGUCCUGC